rnacentral:piRNA from 1 species
UCUCAAAAAAGGAGCCGAAGUUUGGACAACC